GUUUCUUUAGUUUAAUUAAAAAAUUUAAUUUUGAAAAAGUUAAGAUAGUUGGGACA
rnacentral:tRNA from 1 species